ensembl:lncRNA
AUGCUAGCGGACAUGGGGUGCAGCUGGUCCUCCGAGACUUCCGUACAAGCUCUGAGAGCCGCGGACGUGAAGGGGGCCGAGGAUGAGACAGGAUUUAAACUCGACGGCCGCGGGGAUUCGGCCGUCUCAAAGGGCACAGCGGACAGCGGGGUGGUGAUAGAGGAUGGACACGUCUCGGCGUUACCUGGAGUAGUCCCAGGAAAACCUAAUUUAACAAGUGUCACGGACGGCGUGCUCGACAGAAACAGGCAAGAUGACAUCCAGCUGCAGUCCAGUGAGAUCCUGGAGGAGCUGGAGAACGAGGGGAUCAUACCAGUGGGACAGAGGGACAGUGUUGCAGGAGAGGCCUACAGUAUCAUGUUAGAUGACGGAGAGGCGGUCAGACGAAGACCUCCAGCAAGACUGGAGUCCCUGAAGGCCGCCAGAAAACAAAGCCUCCCCAGCAGAGAAAAGUGCGAGGAAAAGAUGAGACUUGUGGAGGAGAGACGCAAGUUAAGAGAAAAUGAGAUAAAGACCCGUCUAAGGGCCAAGUCAGCCCGUGUGCGUGUCCUCGCCCCCACCAUCAUCUCUGACGCUGAUGAGGACGCGACCAACGCGCCUGUGGCAUGGACAGACGAGCGCAUCUCUCCGGACCUUUUAGACGUAACGUCCUUCAGCCAGAUCGAACGCGAAGAGGCCGAGGGCGAGGAGCGCGUGGGAGGGAGUUCACCCGAUGUCAGAGAGCGUAAAGAGCAGGGAGAGAUGGGAAGGUCUCAGGGAGGGAGUGAGGAUAGUGAUGGAGAGGAGGAAGAGUUGACCCAGGUGGUGGAGCUGAUGAAUGAUGUCUGAGUCCAGAGGACAAAGAAACAGUUUAACAUCUAAUCAUGACAGACAAGAGAAAGUAAAUUAUUUACAGCAGACAGUGAAGUUGUUCAACAUACAUCACGAUAAUGCAUUAAAUGCUUCAUUGCUUGGAGUUCGAUUUAUAUAGGUGUGUGUUAAUGGGUAAAAACGUAUUUUUUUUAAAUAGGUCAAUACUAUUUUAACUGAUCUCUUAGAGGUAUAUCUAUUAUGGUCGGUAGAUGGCGCUGUUUCAGCGUUAUUGAACUGAUCACUUUCAGACGGCACUGAGCCCUAUAAAAAAGGUCAUUAUUUGACCAAUAAAGUUCAUUACCUGUUCGAUCUCCUUCUGCUUUGUCAUUUACUAGCACCUAAACCAUUUAUCCUCUUUGAUUUCAUUGAUUUGAUCCAUGCACGCAUCUAUAUGAUCGGUGGAACGUGCGACAGAGCUGUGUGUUAAGCUGUUCCACAGUCAAACAUUGGCCCUUUUCUCUUUCUGUCAGGUGCAAGGUUGCGAUUUACAAGCUCUCAGACUUUUUGUUACUGAUAAAUAUGCCCAAAUUCCAUAGGAUCCGGAUUGGACCCAUUCGUGUGUAAUCCACGGCCCAAGUUCAGCCAUUAAUAUAUAGAAAUAAGAUCAGUCAGCCUGUUGGUGAGCAGAAGGGCAACCUGAGCUGAUCCUUAUUGUUGAGCCUUGGAAAUUCGAUAACACGCACCUUUUUGUGGCCAGACAGACCGACUUAAAGGCGCGUGUGCCGGCAUGAAUAAAACAGAAAGGCGAUUCUAUCGGGUUGCGUUUCUUUGUGAUUCCUCUGCUGCUCGUUUACAAGAACAUCAGAUCAUGGAAAGUGCUGGGUGGGGGGGGGGGGGGGGGGGGGGGGGGUGCUUUGAGCUGCAUGGAUGUCUUGCCUCUCUGAAAAAUGGCGUGCGCUCACGUGGGGCAACGCUGGCACACAGAUGGAUCUGGAGUCGCCAAGAGUGAGUCCAGGUACUUUUCAUCUUUCUGGAGGUCAAACACUCACCGACCUGUCAGGUGGGGCCUCAACUCAUCAGUCAGCCAGGUGAAAAGAGGCAUUACUAUAGAAUAUUAGAUGUUCAGAGACAGUGUCUUGGGGAGUUGAUGGGUUUCAUCUUCGCCGCGCGUAAAUCUUUACGCACGGCGCAUUUGUAAUUCACAGUAUUUAAUCGAGGCAUAUUGGUGGCCACAGAAAGAAAUUAGGAGAUUCACGUUGUUAAAUUUGGAGUUUAAUUCAUUCGCCUUAUGUGCGGGCACGCCGAGAGGAACGUGUCCAACUCCCGCCGCGUCCUCUAUGGGUGGACUACUGCCUGUCUGAGAGCUGCACCUGUCUGUCUGUCUUGUCUGUCUUGUCUGUCUGUCUGUCUGCUCACUGCUGCUGGUGCACGUCUGUCAUUGGGCUGAGACAAGAACCAGCUGUGUAACUCUGAAAUCAUGCUUGAUGUGCAGUAAAAAUGCAGAUUUACUCUGCUUUGUACUGUGAAUGUAUGGAAUCGUAUUUGCGAUGUAUAGGAAUGCGUUGUUUUAAGUCUAACACGUCACACUAAUGCUCAAGGACAUUUUUAUUCAAAAAGAAGUUGAUGCGCACUGUUAAGUACAACAAAACUAUUGUACAAUACGUUAAAUAUAUUCGUAUGGUCAAUAAAUACGCGUAUUCUUACACAAUGUAAAAAAAAAAAAUCUUAAUAUGUUGCUAUUUGUUUAAAAAGGAAUCAUUUCAGGGGGUUUAUUUGGAGACCAGUCUACCCGUCUAAAGCUGGACCUUCCUGGGGAUCUCUAGGGUUUCACACUGUAGCUGCAGCUUUUCCAGCUGUUUGCGCGCCGGUGGGCGGAGCAGAGGUGGACUGAACAACUGGGUGGAGUUAAACGAAUGGCUUUAAGGAAUGGGACCCCAAAUCUAUUUUAGUUAGAGAGCAGACUCACCAAGAAGAGCUGGGAACACCUGAUGGUCGCUCUGGGAAAAAUCCGCUCCAGACUCUCCUCUAAAGUGUCGGAAGAUCCAUCUACCUCAAGGCUUCAUUUUUCUUGUCGAGUUUUUGUUCUGUUUCUUCUGGGAAAAGUUCCAGAGCCAGCUCCGCUCCCUUCAUCCAAA